CACGUAGGGCGCAAGCGUUGUCCGGAAUUAUUGGGCGUAAAGAGCUCGUAGGCGGUCUGUUACGUCUGCUGUGAAAACCCGGGGCUUAACCCUGGGCUUGCAGUGGAUACGGGCAGACUAGAGGCAGGUAGGGGAGAAUGGAAUUCCCGGUGUAGCGGUGAAAUGCGCAGAUAUCGGGAGGAACACCGGUGGCGAAGGCGGCAUCCUGGACCAAUUCUGACACUGAGGAGCGAAAGCCAGGGGAGCAAACGGG
rnacentral:rRNA from 1 species